rnacentral:rRNA from 1 species
AGAGUGAACGCUGGCGGCAGGCCUAACACAUGCAAGUCGAACGGCAGCACAAGGGAGCUUGCUCCCUGGGUGGCGAGUGGCGGACGGGUGAGGAAUACGUCGGAAUCUGCCUAUUUGUGGGGGAUAACGUAGGGAAACUUACGCUAAUACCGCAUACGACCCCAUGCCGAGAGGCGCGGGGGUGAAAGCGGAGGACCUUCGGGCUUCGCGCAGAUAGAUGAGCCGACGUCGGAUUAGCUUGUGGCGGGGUAACGCCACAAGGCGACGAUCCGUAGCUGGUCUGAGAGGAUGAUCAGCCACACUGGAACUGAGACACGGUCCAGACUCCGUACGGGAGCAGCA